CAAUAGCGUAUAUUAAAGUUGUUGCAGUUAAAAAGCUCGUAGUUGGAUUUGUGGUGUACUUCGGCGGCCCGUCACUAUGUGAUGGAGCUUGCUGAAGUCGCCAUCCUUGGGUGGAUCCUGUGUGGCAUUAAGUUGUCGUGCAGGGGAUGCCCAUCGUUUACUGUGAAAAAAUUAGAGUGUUCAAAGCAGGCUUAUGCCGUUGAAUAUAUUAGCAUGGAAUAAUAAGAUAGGACCUUGGUACUAUUUUGUUGGUUUGCGCACCAAGGUAAUGAUUAAUAGGGACAGUUGGGGGUAUUCGUAUUUCAUUGUCAGAGGUGAAAUUCUUGGAUUUUUGAAAGACGAACUACUGCGAAAGCAUUUACCAAGGAUGUUUUCAUUA
rnacentral:rRNA from 1 species